GUGAGGAAUUUUCCGCAAUGGGCGAAAGCCUGACGGAGCAAUGCCGCGUGAAGGAUGAAGGCCUAUGGGUUGUAAACUUCUUUUCUCAGAAAAGAAAUAUGACGGUAUCUGAGGAAUAAGCAUCGGCUAACUCUGUGCCAGCAGCCGCGGUAAGACAGAGGAUGCAAGCGUUAUCCGGAAUGAUUGGGCGUAAAGCGUCUGUAGGUUGUUUAAAAAGUAUUCUGUCAAAGAUUAGGGCUUAAACCUAGAUAGGCAGAAUAAACUUUUAAGCUAGAGGUUGGUAGAGGCAGAGGGAAUUCCAGGUGGAGCAGUGAAAUGCGUAGAUAUCGGGAGGAACACCAAAGGCGAAGGCACUCUGCUGGGCCAAUACUAACACUGAGAGACGAAAGCGAGGGGAGCAAAUGGGAUUAGAAACCCUGGUAGUCC
rnacentral:rRNA from 1 species